rnacentral:rRNA from 1 species
UACGGGGGGGGCAAGCGUUGUUCGGAAUUACUGGGCGUAAAGGGCUCGUAGGCGGCCAACUAAGUCAGACGUGAAAUCCCUCGGCUUAACCGGGGAACUGCAUCUGAUACUGGAUGGCUUGAGUUCGGGAGAGGGAUGCGGAAUUCCAGGUGUAGCGGUGAAAUGCGUAGAUAUCUGGAGGAACACCGGUGGCGAAGGCGGCAUCCUGGACCGAUACUGACGCUGAGGAGCGAAAGCGUGGGGAGCGAACAGG